CAUAAACAAAAUUGGAUUCGAGGCGGGUCCCUGUCUUUGUGGAGUGUACACAUUAUUCCCUUGUCUUCGUCAGUUUUAUUCGGGUACUUUGGUUUCCUUCUACAAGUGGACAUCGCAGAUGUCUUCAUUAGCCACACCCUGCUGUCAGCGGCGCUGACGUCGUUCUUGAGGAAGGACCGGAAGUGAGGCUGAUGAGUCUUGUCGCAGGCGAUCAGUGUCUUUUUGUGCAGCCGUGAUGCUGGAUGCGGACAGGACCUGGGGACGACGGCUGUUCCAGCAUCCCGCCGCGCUGCUACAGUGUCAUCCAAGGUGCGGACGACCUGGUCGAUGAACGGGGCGCUGAAAUGGGCAAUUAGGGAUCCGCGCACCGGGGCGGGGCUGCGUUCAGGACCUGAUGAGACCUGUCCUGUCCUGUCUGCUCAACGGGCGGGGCCACGUCUUCCUGUCCUUUUCGUCUUCAGACAGGAAUUCUCACAGCCCGGACUUUCACUAGAUGAACUUCCACACCCUGAACUGCUGCCAAUGGUGUCCAAGACAACACAGACUAAGUGUAAUUAUUUAUUUUUUUUUUUUACUGAAUGCAUUUUGUUAAAAUACGAUAAUGUCUGGGAAGUUUAGGGGAUGGUUAUCGUCUACAAUUAUGCCAAUGCAACAUUGGUGAGAUGAUGCACAAAUGGCGAAAUUGUCAUCAAAAGGUUUCCUUCUGGUGGAGCAGGUCCUACGUUGCUGAGCCGUAGUGACGUGACUACGUCGUGGAUUGUCACGUGGAGAGUAAGUAAUCAACUCUGACUAUGUUCAUCUUCUUGGAACCAGACCAGACCUUCGUGCGCGUGCACAAUUGUGACUGGCACUACGCCCAUGACCUCAAGAUGGCCGUCCCUGCUGAACAGCCGCGGAAGAGAUGGUCUCCCCUUGGCGUGAGGCGCUCUUCACACAGGGAGGAUGGCGAGCGCUGAGUCAAUCAAUGUCAAUCAAAUAUGCCCCUGCGCUUUGAUCCGUCUAAAAGGAAUUUCUGUGAAUACCUUUAAUUUACGAAAUUACUGUUUGUAUUCCACUCCAUUCCAGUUAGCAAGACGGCUGGGCAGGAAAUUGUCUGCUGAUGGCUACUCACUAUUCUUCCUCUGGAUGCGUCGAUCGUCUUCUCCUAAUGGCCUCCUCCGGAUUUUCUCUCUCCUUCUCUUUCACUCUCUCAAUCCCUGCGCGCGCACACACAGACACAUUUACACUAAACACACAUACUAAAAUAAAAAACAAAAACAAAAAAAAAAGUAAAAAAAAAAAAAUUAAAAAACCCCACACACAAUAAAAAGAGAGAGGGAGGGAGGGAGGGAUAGCAGAAGAACAAGAAUGACCUCUCCUAACCCUUUUUUCUAACGAAACGGCCGGAGGCAAGUUUCCAUCAUGGCCCAUAUUUUGGCAGAAAACACAAUUAUGUGUGUCAAAUCGCAGCCAUUCACUCUCAGCAAGAAGAAAGUAAAGAAGAGGAAGAAAAAAUCGCCUGAGAGACACGGGUACAGGCCGAGCCGUUAGCCAGCUCCGUGUCAACCCUUGAAGGCGCGGACCUGGUCGCCACAGACCGACUCUCUUUCAGAACAGGCCUGCGAGGAGGCCGCAGAGGAUGUGAUCGAUGAGAGAGCGAUGAUGAAGCGCCGCCAUGUUGACUCUGGUCUAGACAAAUAAGGGGAGAGCAUUCAACGGACUGGACACACGGAUAAUGUCCCCCUUCUUUACCUCCUUCGAUAUUUGGCGGUCAUUUGUUUGGCGAAAAACGUUUUUGGGGAGAUCGAUGAGGCUAAGUAAAGGGUAGGGUUGUAGGAGAAAUUGUGUCGGUGCCUCACGCCGGACUGAGGACAAGAAAAUUGUCUUGUUCCCUCCCCAAAUAGCCUAUUUCUCUCCUUCUCUCCUCCCUCUUUUACCCUCUCAACAGACUGAAAGAGAAGACAACAGUUUAUAUCCUCAUUCAGCUUCGAACUGAGAUUGUAAUAAAAAGAUUAAAACGAAAAAAAAUCAUGUUCUUUGUCAAACACCCUGAUUAUUUUGGAAGAAUGGAGGAACAAAAAAA